UACGUAGGUGGCAAGCGUUGUCCGGAAUUACUGGGCGUAAAGCGCACGUAGGUGGCUUGUCAAGUCGGGUGUGAAAUCCCCGGGCUCAACCUGGGAACUGCAUUCGAGACUGCCUUGCUAGAGUAUGGGAGAGGGAAGUGGAAUUUCCGGUGUAGCGGUGAAAUGCGUAGAUAUCGGAAGGAACAUCAGUGGCGAAGGCGACCUCCUGGGCCAAUACUGACGCUCAGGUGCGAAAGCGUGGGGAGCAAACAGG
rnacentral:rRNA from 1 species